GCGGCUCCGCCCCUCCAUGGGCUUCUCGCACCUCCCCACCCUCCCACCCCCGAGUUCUUUUCCUAUUCACUUCCUAACCCCGACCCUUGCUACAACCUCAAAUCCCGGGAUCUUGGAUCUAUCUCCCCGGCCUUCCGAGCAGGUUCAUGAGCAGACCUGGGUCCAGCAGUUGGUGCAGGAGAUGAAGACCCUCUUCUUGAAUAUUGAGUACCUGAUACCCUUUUUCCUUAACCAGUGUGGCUCCCUUCUCUACUACCUCACUUUGGCAUCAACAGAUCUGACCCUAGCUGUGCCCAUCAGUAACUCUCUGGCCAUCGUCUUCACACUGAUUGUCGGGAAGUUCCUUGGAGAAGAUAUUGGUGGAAAACGCUCUUUGACUACUCCCAACUCACUCACAAGCUUGCGAAAUCAUUCGAAGCCAGCAGCCACAUACUGCCUUCCGUUCUGCAGCAGUGACCAGCCUUUAACCAGACUGACCCCACCCUCGGAGAAGCAGAACAAGCAGAAAGGACCCACAUUCCUGACUGACCAACUCUGGGAGAAGAGCUGCCUGUGCUAGUUUUUAAGGGGAAAGCCAGCAAAGGAGUUUCAUCUGCUUCUGGGAGUUCCGGUGCUCCUCCAGCUGGGGACAGAGAGGCAGAGAACAGAAGUACCCAGAGGAGUAGGGGCCACAAGCUCCAUACCCGCCAAUCCACCUGCACUUGUCCUCUCCUCCAUUCAUGAGGACCUGGCCGAGCUUCUCACCACAGCCAAGCCCUUUCCUGGUGCACUGGACCUCACUUCCUCUCAUUUACCUGAGAACAUCAUUCUAGCAACUCACUUCCUCCUCUUGCCAUCAUCAAUCUUUCCUGGGCUGGAUCAUUCUGAAAGGGUGCUGUCUUUUUCAUAUCCUCUCCUUAAUUAAUUGUUAUAAUAACCCCAUUAAGCAGGUGUGACUUUCCCCAUUUUACAGAUGAGAAAAGUUCCUUACAGGAGAAUUCCAGCUAAUAACUGUGAAUGGAAUGAAAGAAUUUAAAAAUAAAUAAUUAGGCAAUAACCGUCAGUGGAAUCUGUUACUUCAAAUUCUGAUGGGAAACCUGACAGAGGAAGGACCUGGUUGGUGCCACCUGAGCCCAGUGAACAAUCAAUCUUUCGCCACUAAAAGUGGGACAACCACACUUUCUCCUGUGAUGCAACAUGAAGUACAGAAAACCAUUUAUGAAGAAUUCUUGUCAAAGAAGUUGAAUUUGAAUUGGAACAAGCUUCUAGAGCUAACUUCCACUUUAUUUACAUGAACGAAGGAGGUAAAGAAACAAGUGAAAUGCUACAAAGCUAGAAAGUGGGACACACUACAGGACAAUUGAUCUGUAAUAAGUCGAUGUCAUGAGAAAAGCAAAGCAGUGAGAUGAAGACUGCUUUAGAGUAACAGAAAAAAAAAAAGUUGUGGGCCGGCCGAGCGGCGCGUUGGUUAAGAGCUGGCUUGGGACGCCAGAGGG